rnacentral:rRNA from 1 species
CGGCGCCACAAGUGGCAAUCACGUUUAUUGGGCCUAAAGCGUCCGUAGCCGGUUUAGCAAAUCUUUUGUGAAAUCGUCAGGCUUAACUUGACGAAUUGCAGAAGACACUACUAAACUAGGGACUGGGAGGAGUCAGAAGUAUUCUGGGGGGACCGGUAAAAUGGUAUAAUCCCCAGAGGACUACCGAUGGCGAAGGCAUCUGACCAGAACAGAUCCGACGGUGAGGGACGAAAGCCAGGGGAGCAAACCGGAUUAGAUACCCGAGUAGUCC